UACGUAGGGGGCAAGCGUUGUCCGGAAUCAUUGGGCGUAAAGAGCGUGUAGGCGGCCCGAUAAGUCCGCCGUGAAAGCCCAGGGCUCAACCCUGGGAUGCCGGUGGAUACUGUCGGGCUAGAGUUCGGAAGAGGCAAGUGGAAUUCCUGGUGUAGCGGUGAAAUGCGCAGAUAUCAGGAGGAACACCGGUGGCGAAGGCGGCUCUCUGGGCCUGUCCUGACGCUCAGGCGCGAAAGCUAGGGGAGCAAACAGG
rnacentral:rRNA from 1 species